GAGAUAGCUCAGUCCGUUAGAGUGUGGUACUGAUAAUGCCAAGGUUGGGGGUUUGAUUCUCGUAAGAGACA